rnacentral:lncRNA from 1 species
AUGCCCUCCCUCCUCACCUUUCCUUCAGCUGUCGGCGCGGGGAAUCGAUGUUGGGUGCAAGGGUGUCCUCUAAUUAGGUCCUGGGCAGGGUUUCCGGGGCUCUCAUCCUUCCAGCUGAUUGUGCGCGCUAUGGGGGAGGGUGGUGGCAUGUGUCCUCAGGCUUCUGAGGAGUGGCGAUGGUGGAGAGUGGCUGGCCUGGCCGUGCACUUAAACACUACAUUGUCGUGGAAGCUGUUGGGUCGAGCUAUUCCCAUCUCUGUAUGGAAAAAAAUACAAUCAACUUCAUGCUGCACCUCCUACAAGGAAAAGAAUGGGUGUUCUGAUAGCAUGGGGUUUGGGAGAACUGUUUUUUCAAGCUGGUCCAUGUUAUCAGACCCCAUACAGUUGCUCCUAAGUAUUGCUGCUUUGACAAGGAUCCAAUUUCUUCCUUCCUUCCUUCCUUCCUUCCUUCCUUCCUUCCUUCCUUCCUUCCUUCCUUCCUUUCUUUCUUUUUCUUUCUUUCUUUCUUUUCUUUCUUUCUUUCUCUCUCUUUCCUUCCCUCCUUCCCUCCUUCCCUCCUUCCUUCCUUCUUUGCUUCCUUCCUCUCUCCUUCUUUCUUUCUUUCUCUCUCGCUUUCUUUUCUUCUUUCUUUCUCUCCUUCCUUCCUUCCUCUCUUCCUUCUUCCUUUCUUUCUUUUCUUUCUUUCUUUCUUUCUCCUUCCUUCCUUCCUCUCUCUUCCUUCUUCCUUCCUUCCCUCCUUCCUUCCUUCCUUUCUUCCUUUUCCUUUCUUUCUUUCUUUCUUUCUUUCUUUCUUUCUUUCUUUCUUUCUUUCUUUCUUUCUCUUUCUUUCCUUCUUUCUUUCUCUCCUUCCUUCCUUCCUUUUUCCUUCCUUCCUCUCUCUCUCCUUUUCUUUCUUUCUUUCUUUCUUUCUUUCUUUCUUUCUUUCUUUCUUUCUUUCUUUCUUUCCUUCUUUCCUUCCUUCCUUCCUUCCUUCCUUCCUUCCUUCCUUCCUUCCUUCCUUCCUCUCUCUUCUUUCUUUCUUCCUUCCUUCCUUUCUCUCUUUCCUUCCUUCCCUCCUUCUUUCCUUCCUCUCUCUCUCUUUUCUUUCUUUUUUUCUUUCCUUUCCUUCCCUCCUUCCUUCCUUCCUUCCUUCCUUCCUUCCUUCCUUCUUCCUUCCUUCUUCCUUCCUUCCUUCUUUUUUGA